rnacentral:misc_RNA from 1 species
UCUCCGUUGGUGAACCAGCGGAGGGAUCAUUACUGAGUUUACAACUCCCAACCCAUGUGGACAUACCUUUUGUUGCUUCGGCGGGAUGCCCCCGGCGCCUAGUGUGCCCGGGAAUCAGGCCCCCGCCGGAGGACCCAAACUCUUGUUUUUCUAUAGAACUUCUGAGUGGAUUAUUUUAAUAAUUAAAACUUUCAACAACGGAUCUCUUGGUUCUG